CCGCCACUAGCUCAUUUGGAUAGAGCAGCAGCCUUCUAAGCUGUUGGUGCGAGGUUCGAAUCCCCGGUGGCGAACCA
rnacentral:tRNA from 1 species